AUCCUGCAGUGACAGAAAAUUACUGCUGGAUGACAGGGCCUGCAAAGUUAAAUUGCAUUGCUUUAAAGGAGAAGAAGAUGAGAGUACUGCUAGGCAGGCUGCUAUACAGUAGAGUAUAAUGUGCACAUACCAGGAUCAGAGGUCUCUCAUAUUUU
rnacentral:lncRNA from 12 species